UACGUAGGGUGCGAGCGUUAAUCGGAAUUACUGGGCGUAAAGCGUGCGCAGGCGGUUAUGUAAGACAGAUGUGAAAUGCCCGGGCUUAACCUGGGAACUGCAUUUGUGACUGCAUGGCUAGAGUUUGGCAGAGGGGGGUAGAAUUCCACGUGUAGCAGUGAAAUGCGUAGAUAUGUGGAGGAAUACCGAUGGCGAAGGCAGCCCCCUGGGAUAACACUGACGCUCAUGCACGAAAGCGUGGGGAGCAAACAGG
rnacentral:rRNA from 1 species